UUCAUAUAUUCUUGUUAGACUAGGUUGUAUCUGAAUAAAUAAAACAAAUUCGUACUGAAAUGCAGCUCUGACAAGUGGCGCCAAUUGGUGCUGCAAAAUGGUUUCCAACCAGUGCUGUAAAUGAGCCUAUUUCAAAGCUUUGAAAAAUGUACUGGCUAGUAGAAAUAAAGGCAGUGGGGAGCCAGUCUAAAUCUAAAUACAUUACAAAGGAAUGUGUAUAUUUACUGCAGCUGCUAAUGCAGAUCGUAAAACGUGCAAAUGUACAUAAAUCUGUGAAAAUACAACUCUGCCGUUUGGCUGCACAGUGUUGAGGAACACAACGGUUUUAGCGGCUAAAUUUGAAAGAAGCUAAAGUCUAUUUUUUGUAUAAUCUCAAAAGUAGUAAAAUAUUCAAUUUUAUAAUCUGAAUAUGCCUUGGUUGGGAAUACCAAUGUGUCCCAGAAAGAUGAGCGUACAUAUGUAAUUAUUGUAUAAAUAAAUGAUUUUCACCCAAGCCAAGUAACGAAUUCGAGCAUCCAUGAGAGUGUAUUGUAUGUACAUUCAUACAUAAAUGAAUGGAUUUGUGCUCUGGGCGAUUGGCCAUACAGUUUUAUUUCGGCUGUUCAGAGACCGCAGCCAUGUACAAACAGAUGCCCCGGCGCGCACAGGCACGCUAACACACUCGCAAAAACUGCCAAUGAUUCCAACAUGGCUCUUCCCCAAAUGAUUCAUUCAUGCGCCGCUCACUCGCUGACACUCUCUGCCGCCGGUCUCUUCGGCGGACAGUUCAAGCAACAACCACCACGAGACAUCACAUCACCCACCGCCUCCUGCAAGACCACCACCAACACCCACCGAACAUACACAGUGCAGCAAAAUGCAUGACGCAGAUGGCAGCAACGGCGAUGGGAACUGCACCAUCGGUGGAAGAAUGUGCACGACGGGAUGAUAUACCCUCUUGUUUCCCCAUCAACCCAUAAAAACGUCAUAAGUGCAAGCCCACCACAGAGGACACUCUCACAAUGGGCAGUGCGUCGUCCCCGACAUUUCCCGUCCAGCUCCAGCCCCAUCCUCAGGUACGAGUACGAGCAAUAUUGGAAAUCGAAGACAAUGGCACUGGUAAAUGUAAUUUUAAUAAUUGCGUGUGAAGUGCCCGUUGACGUAGGACAGCUGGGUAUCGUACUAAUCGUCGCACUCGUGUGGAAACAUUAGCACAAGCCAGCCAAACGCGACCCGAGACCGGAGAUGAAUGUCUCCCAGACCCGGCUCGGGCAACUCGGCCAAGCGAAUCGCCUAUCUAUCAUUCUAACAGCCGCUCAAAGCGAAUUGUAAACCUGUUCCAUGCUGUUCUCCAGAACGAUUUCAGUUACCUAAAGUAAACGUUCAUGACUCUAGAGACUAGAACGGCAAUCGCUAUGCGGUACAGUAUGACCUACAAGUAUGAUAUGAUUCAGGUUGAAAAGCACGCACGAGUAUACCAAUGUAUGGAUUCUAGUAAGUAUCUUGGUAUCUUGGAUCCAUUACAGACUAUUAGCAGCCCAAGUUAAAAAAAAACUUCGUGCCAUGGUACAUGCUAGGGUGUCACUGGUGUACCAGCAUGUACGAGUACGUAUGCAUGUACAUAUGUAUCUA